rnacentral:misc_RNA from 1 species
AUAAAAGUAUGCAUAUGCAUAUUGACCCGGCACAUCUGUUGGGAACUUUAUCAACUCUGGCCGACUGUAAUAGGAGUUAUACAUCUCACUAACAGAUGACGAUGACCACAUAAUCUUGAAAUCAAUUACUUCUGUCCUCUGAUCAUCCAAAGUAACCUUAGCUAUUGACGAUGGAUGAACAGCAGAUGCUCCGUCAACAUACAAGCUAUGAACCCCAGAAGUUAUAUUGU